GCCCUUGUUGCACAACGGAUAGUGCACCGGUUUCCGAGGCCGGAGGUUGCAGGUUCGAGCCCUGCCGAGGGCG
rnacentral:tRNA from 1 species